rnacentral:snRNA from 1 species
AUCGCUUCUCGGCCUUUUGGCUAAGAUCAAGUGUAGUAUCUGUUGUUAUCACUUUAAUAUCUGAUAUGUCCUUUAUUUGAGGACUAUAUAUUAAAUGGAUUUUUGGAGCUGGGAAAUUUAACAUUGUAAGCCGCCCCGAGGCUUCGGCGAAUGGGGCGGCAUAAAAA